GACAGGCACUGGCUCCAAACAUGGCAAGCACAUGGUAAAACAGAGUGACACCAUUUAGCUGCUUUGAUAGAAAUAGACGAGAAGAGUGCGCCAAUACACAGGGGUCUCUGAGAUCUGCCAGCCAAUCUUCACUCGUGGUCCGUUCGUAAAGACAGCCUCUAUUUGUCUUCCUUCUCAGGCAGCGAGAGGAGAAAGCGUUAGCUCCUCACUCAUCUCCCAGCAUGGGGAGGGUUCCUUUCCUUCUGCGAUAAUUCACUGCGCCCGUCUGAAAGGAUUACUCACUCUGCUAAUUAUGAACAAAACACACUGUAAUUAUGAACUGGAGUGGAUUUAUUUGCUGUACCCCCACUCUAAUUAUGCAGGCAAGAGGAGCUCCAAAAUUGGCCCGUCCAGAGGAACAAUAGUACAUGUGUCCAGCGAGGUGGAAAGAAGCAGCUGGUGUGGGAUUGAGUUUGAGCAACCUGACCUUCAGACGCUUGACCGAACUGUGCUACACAGUUCAUAAUUCUAAUUGCUGUGUAAGGAGGCUACAAAUCACACUGACUUGACACCGAGGCUCUUAGCUGGGAUGAGAUGUGACCUGCUUCUCCAGCCAUCUGGAGGAGUCAAGGAGAACUUUGGCCUUUAAUAUAAUUGCCUUAUAUGACCGAGGGUUUGAAACUAUUGGGACGUAGAGACCAUGAAGGCAAAGCAAGAUCUACUGUAUGAACCUGCUGAGUCAUGGACAGUAUGUUAGUGAGUGAUCACACACCUAUUUAAGCAUAAUGAUAGAUAACUCAAGAAAGGGUUGUUCAGAAUUUUGCUGGUAAAGAGGUUGACCAACUUAGCUCUUGACCAGCAUAUGAUAUAUUUCUGUUUGGAUUUGAUAGUUUAGCUGGUCAACAAGAGUGACCAAGCUGACUGACCAACAUGACCAACAUGAUUGUUUAUUAUUGCUAGAAUAACCAUGUCCAAUCUGGUUGACUAGCAUGACCAGCAUGACCAAGCAUGAAUGGUCAACCAGCAUUAUCAAGGCGAUUAACCUGUAUGACCACAAAGACCAAACUGUUAAAAACAAACAUGACAAGAUCAUUGACUUGUUUGACUACCAUGACUAAGAUCAUCAUCUUAACCAAACUGGAUGACCCACAUGACCACAUUGGUUCACCAGAGUAACCAGCAGGGGAAACAGAACCAGUGGUUAGAGAACCAGGUUACUGAUAACAGGGUUAUGGGUUUAGUAGCUGGGUUCGAAAAGCUGCUUCUGCCGCUGCCACUGUUUGGCGCUUAAGCAAUGAUGCAGCCAGGACUGCCCAUCCCUCUGUGUGUGCCAAGUGUGUUCAAUAUAAUUAUUAUUGUCUUUAAACAAAUUGGACAAUCUGAUCAAGUUGGUCAUGCUGAUAGACCAGCUAAACCAUCAUGACAAGCAGCAUAUAGUGAAUAUUUUCACCUGGAGGACCAGCUUCCAACCACCUUGAUUAUCAAGAACCAGCUAAAUCUUUAGUUUAAUUUUUAUAAUACGGACG
rnacentral:lncRNA from 1 species